GUUGUCCUUGUGAAGUGCUGUGUUUUGUAACAAAGGCUGAGAUGAAUGCAACUUCUGUUACUGCUCCUUCCCUUCACACCAAAGGUGGUGGCCUGCGUGGAAAAUUGAAUAAGGUGGUGCUGGCUUACAGUGGUGGAUUAGAUACAUCAGUCAU
rnacentral:sRNA from 1 species